rnacentral:rRNA from 1 species
CCUACGGGGUGCUGCAGUCGAGAAUCAUUCACAAUGGGGGAAACCCUGAUGGUGCGACGCCGCGUGGGGGAAUGAAGGUCUUCGGAUUGUAAACCCCUGUCAUGUGGGAGCAAAUUAAAAAGAUAGUACCACAAGAGGAAGAGACGGCUAACUCUGUGCCAGCAGCCGCGGUAAUACAGAGGUCUCAAGCGUUGUUCGGAAUCACUGGGCGUAAGGCGUGCGUAGGCUGUUUCGUAAGUCGUGUGUGAAAGGCGCGGGCUCAACCCGCGGACGGCACAUGAUACUGCGAGACUAGAGUAAUGGAGGGGGAACCGGAAUUCUCGGUGUAGCAGUGAAAUGCGUAAAUAUCGAGAGGAACACUCGUGGCGAAGGCGGGUUCCUGGACAUUAACUGACGCUGAGGCACGAAGGCCAGGGGAGCGAAAGGGAUUAGAUACCCUUGUAGUC